GCUGCCAGCUGUCUGGCCUGCAGUGGUCCCGGAGACAGAAACUGUACCAGUUGCCCUAGUAAUUAUCUCUUAGAUACAGGGUCCUGCGUCCUUGGAGCAAUCUGUAAGGAUGCAACGGAAGAAUCGUGGGCCGAGGGCAGCUUUUGUAUGCUAGUCAAAAAGAACAACCUCUGUCAGCGGAAGGUCCUUCAGCAACUCUGUUGUAAAACUUGUACAUAUCAAGGCUGAGCAGGCCACUACCCAGAAUCUCUCUGUUCCUGUAGACUUCUAGAUUAAUCCAUAUUAUUAUUAUUAAAAAAAAAAAAGAAAAAGAAAAAGAAAAACAAGAAAGCCACCGCUCUCUCUUUUCUCGCUCUUAUUCUCUCUCUCAAGUUUGUGCUGGGAGAUGGUGAACUGUUUUGUCAGAACUUAAAUGAAAAAGAAAAAAAAAAACUACAACAAGCCUACCUUUUAUAACUGGGCACUUGGUGCUAAGCGCCCAGAAUCACAGAGUCAGUAUUGUGUGGUGACCAAAGCAUUUGAUGCCAAAAUUGAAGGUUAAACUAACGAUUUGAUUUCCUGUCAACUUCAGAGUUUCCUUGUUUUUGGAGGCCCUUUCCUCCCUCCACCCUACCCUCUCUUUUUCUUGCCUGUUUCCCCUCUGAGAUGAUGAAAGACGUGUUUCAAGAGUACUCGACAGGUUGACGUGGAUUAAAACAGAAUAAAUGCUCCCAUUGGU